GAAAUGCGAUAAGUAAUGUGAAUUGCAGAAUUCAGUGAAUCAUCGAAUCUUUGAACGCACAUUGCGCCCGUCAGCAUUCUGGCGGGCAUGCCUGUUCGGGCGUCAUUUCAACCCUCAGGACCCCCCUUUCGCGGGGAGGGACCUGGCGUUGGGGAUCGGCCCGCCCCCCGCGGCGGCGCCGUCCCCGAAAUCUAGUGGCGGUCUCGCUGCAGCCUCCCCUGCGUAGUAGUUACAACCUCGCAUCGGAGCGCGGCGCGGCCACGCCGUAAAACCCCCGACUUUCUGAACGUUGACCUCGGAUCAGGUAGGAAUACCCGCUGAACUUAAGC
rnacentral:misc_RNA from 1 species